rnacentral:rRNA from 1 species
AUGGCAGUUGAGCUGUUCGCAAAUGCUAUACACAAUCACACGGACCACGUAGAUACUUUGCUUGCUUCCACCCCCAUCCAGAGAUUCUACCCACAGGCUCUAGUCCCUGAUAAACACCCACCUCCUCUAGAGUCAGUAUAUGGCAGCAAACUCCUGAUAAACACCACCUCCGCCGAGAAGAAAAGCCUCCGGCCGGCGGCAACAAUGUGCGGCCGCGACGACGACUGCUACCUGACGAGGGACGAAGUCAAGUACCUCUUCAUCUGCUUCGGCGUCGUCGCGGUCGUGGUCCUCCUCGCCGUCCUCCUGGCCGCCUUCGUCUACCUCCGCCACGUCACCAUCACCGUGGAGGACGCCUCGCUCACCAGGUUCGACCUGCUCACCUCCCCGGUGACGGGGAUCGCCUACAACCUCUCGCUCACCCUCAAGGUCCGCAACCCCAACUGGGCCAUGAGCAUGAAGAACGUGGAGCCCUUCGUGGCCGCCUACAGGUUCGACGGCCAGCAGUUCGACCGCGUGCAGAUCGCCGCCACGGGCGACAAGCACCCCGCCGGCGCCACCAGGGUGUACCACCUCACCUCCUCGUCCCAAGGCGCCUUCGUGUCCCUGGGCAGCGCCGGCGAGCAGGAGUACAAGAAGGAGAGCAAGACGGGGACGUUCGACGUCGAGGUGGCGCUGACCCGCAAGGUGAGCUACACGGCCCGCUACACCAAGUGCAAGAUCGAGGCCGUCUGCCCGCUCAAGCUGCAGCUCGUCAAGCCCGACUCCACCACCGUCGUCUUCCAGAAGGUGAAGUGCAAGCUCCAAAAGGCCGAGAAGAACUGCUAG